GGUACGGUGGCUUAGUGGUUAGCACAUUUGCAUGUUAGCACGUUUGGUUGGGGGUUCGAAUCCCGCCUCUGCCC